GAUGAACGCUGGCGGCGUGCCUAACACAUGCAAGUCGAGCGAUCUUCUUCGGAAGAGAGCGGCGGACGGGUGAGUAACGCGUGGGUAACCUGCCCUGUACACACGGAUAACAUACCGAAAGGUAUGCUAAUACGAGGUAAUAUGCUUUUAUCGCAUGGUAGAAGUAUCAAAGCUCCGGCGGUACAGGAUGGACCCGCGUCUGAUUAGCUAGUUGGUAAGGUAAUGGCUUACCAAGGCGACGAUCAGUAGCCGACCUGAGAGGGUGAUCGGCCACAUUGGAACUGAGACACGGUCCAAACUCCUACGGGAGGCAGCAGUGGGGAAUAUUGCACAAUGGGCGAAAGCCUGAUGCAGCAACGCCGCGUGAGCGAUGAAGGCCUUCGGGUCGUAAAGCUCUGUCCUCAAGGAAGAUAAUGACGGUACUAGAGGAGGAAGCCCCGGCUAACUACGUGCCAGCAGCCGCAGUAA
rnacentral:rRNA from 1 species